GCAACCUGCCCGUAACAGGGGUAUAACGGAGGGAAACUUCCACUAAUCCCCCAUAUUGUUGAAGGACCGCAUGGUUUUUCAACGAAAGCUUCGGUGGUUACGGAUGGGCAUGCGUGACAUUAGCUAGUUGGCGGGGCAACGGCCCACCAAGGCGACGAUGUCUAGGGGAGCUGAGAGGCUUAUCCCCCACACUGGUACUGAGACACGGACCAGACUCCUACGGGAGGCAGCAGUGAGGAAUAUUGGUCAAUGGGCGGAAGCCUGAACCAGCCAUGCCGCGUGGAGGGAAAAGAAGGUCCUAUGGGUUGUAAACUCCUUUUGUCCGAGAGUAAUAAGAGCCUUGCGAGGCUUGAUGAGAGUAUCGGGCGAAUAAGCAUCGGCUAACUCCGUGCCAGCCGCCGC
rnacentral:rRNA from 1 species